rnacentral:ncRNA from 1 species
UAUGUUUCAAUUAAAAGGGAAUCUGGUGAAAUACCAGAGCUGUACCCGCAACUGUAAGCUUUAAACGUUUUUACAAUAUACCACUGACAAGUGUUGGGAAGGUGUAAAAAUAAGGAGCAAGUCAGGAUACCUCCCUCAUUCUUUA